rnacentral:rRNA from 1 species
GUGGGGAAUCUUAGACAAUGGGGGAAACCCUGAUCUAGCCAUGCCGCGUGAUCGAUGAAGGCCUUAGGGUUGUAAAGAUCUUUCAGGUGGGAAGAUAAUGACUGUACCACCAGAAGAAGCCCCGGCUAACUCCGUGCCAGCAGCCGCGGUAAUACGGAGGGGGCUAGCGUUGUUCGGAAUUACUGGGCGUAAAGCGCACGUAGGCGGAUUGGAAAGUUGGGGGUGAAAUCCCGGGGCUCAACCCCGGAACUGCCUUCAAAACUCCCAGUCUUGAGUUAGAGAGAGGUGAGUGGAAUUCCGAGUGUAGAGGUGAAAUUCGUAGAUAUUCGGAGGAACACCAGUGGCGAAGGCGGCUCACUGGCUCGAUACUGACGCUGAGGUGCGAAAGCGUGGGGAGCAAACAGGAUUAGAAACCCGGGUAGUCC